GACGAACGCUGGCGGCGUGCCUAAUACAUGCAAGUAGGACGCAGUUGCGAACGGGUGAGUAACGCGUAGGUAACUACCUAUUAGAGGGGGAUAACUAUUGGAAACGAUAGCUAAUACCGCAUACUAGUAGAUGGACCUGCGUUGUAUUAGCUAGUAGGUAGGGUAAUGGGCUACCUGGGCAACGAUACAUAGCCGACCUGGGGGUGUGUUGGGCCAACCGGGGACUGGGGAACGGCCCAGAACCCGACGGGGGACAGAGGGAGGUAAUCUUCGGCAAGGGGGGGAACCCAGCCCGAGCAACGGCGCGUGGGGGAAAAAGGUUUUCGGGUCGAAAAGCUCUGUGGUUAAAGAAGCGGUACUUAACCAGAAAGGGACGGCUAACUACGUGCCAGCAGCGGCGGUAAUUC
rnacentral:rRNA from 1 species